UGUCUCUCUCUCUCUGUCGAUCUCCGCCGAUCUCUGUCUGUCUCUCUCUGCCGAUCUCUCUCUGUCGAUCGCCCCCCAAACGCUUCGUCUCUCUCCGGAAUUCUAGAGAGAGAAACACCAAGCCCUCCCAAAUGCCUCUUAUCGCACACAUUGCCAUUAUUUGAACAACAACACAAAUACAGUUUGAUUCGAUUGUAGGAGCUCUUCGCAAUUUUCAUUCCUCUCUUUCUCUACUCGAAAACAUCAACAGAUCUGGACUUGGGUAACUUCUUAGCUCCAAUUCGAUCAGUGACCAAGUAGCAGUUGGCCGUGCACUUGAUCUUCUUGUGUACUUUGGUGAAACUGGUAGUUGAGAGGUGCUCCAUAAAGUUGGUGUUGAAGGAGCAUGUGCAACAACAAUAACUUUAGAUACCCCCGGUGCAAACUAUAGAACAGUGUGGGCUUUGAGCAAGUAUUUCCUUAAUGUAAAGACAUUUGUCCGUGCUCAUGACGUUGAUCAUGGCCUCAAUUUGGAAAAGGUUGUCCCCGAGACGUUCGAACCUAGUCUCCAACUAUCUGCUGCUGUUCUUACACAAGUAAAAAAUAGUAUCGAUGACACUGAAUUGUAUAAGAUUUUUCACUGCAUGUGCUUUGUAUGUUGUUUGUAUUUAGUACAUACUGCGUAAGUUAUAUUGACGAAUACUAUUUUCCUUUUUUUGCUGAGCAUCGGAAAUUGGUUGCAUGCAUGUACUGCGGAGUCGGAUUGUAACAAAUCAUAAGGAAGCUGAAUAUUAUUUCCAUUGAAUUUGUCACUCACCAUGCUAUGCUAGUAUGCAAUGUAAUUGAUCAAUUUUUGGAUUAACAUUCCAUAAAAUCACUGUAAGAUUAAUCGCUUUUUGGUACAAUCUUAAUGAUUACAGUGCAUCUUAUUGGAUAUUUUAAUUUGAAUUAGUGACUUGCUACAUGCUUACCUUGAGUCUCAAUUCAACUAUUUGUGUACACCAUUUUCAUUAUUGAGCACCUGUUUUAUGUCCAUGCUGGUUCUUUGAUUGAAAAGCAGAAGCGGCUGUUGUUUCUCCGAAGUGUUUUGUGAUUUAUACGAUAUAAUUUCACUUUCACGUGACACACACACACACACACACACACACACAGACGCAUUUGACUCGGUUAACACAUUGAAAACUGAAGGCAUUUGGAUCUGAUUUUGUCGGUCCACCAGCUGCAAUGCAGCAACUCAAACUCUUGUUACUGUUGUUGGUUGAUGCUUUCUUGUGAAAUUAUUAGCAUGUGCUAUGGAAAGUCAAAAACAUUAUAGAAGCUUG